rnacentral:tRNA from 1 species
CUAAGGAAAAAUGGUUGCUUAGGCAAUUCAUGGAUAACUGUAUUUGGGCUUUCUGUUUUAUUUAGUUUUGAGAGGUUUAUACCUAAAACUGUAAAAAUCUUCUCUAUAAGAAGACGGGGCCUUAGCUCAGCUGGGAGAGCGCCUGCUUUGCACGCAGGAGGUCAGCGGUUCGAUCCCGCUAGGCUCCAUUGUCAACGAAGACAUUAAAAUAGGCAAUUAGAUCAUUGAAAACUGAAUAACAAUUUCUAAAAUAACAAGAAAUAAACCGAGAAGUGACAUAGCAAUAUGUCACCUCAAAAAAAAAGCGUGAGUCGAAAGACUCAAUACUUAUUACCAGAUACUUAAAUGUAUCGAUUUAAAGGUUAA